GACGAACGCUGGCGGCGUGCUUAACACAUGCAAGUCGAGCGGUAAGGCCCUUUCGGGGGUACACGAGCGGCGAACGGGUGAGUAACACGUGGGUGACCUGCCCUCAGCUCUGGGAUAAGCCUGGGAAACCGGGUUUAAUACCGGAUAUGACUCCAUGACGCAUGUUGUGGGGUGGAAAGCCUUGUGCGGCUGAGGAUGGGCCCGCGGCCUAUCAGCUUGUUGGUGGGGUGAUGGCCACCAAGGCGACGACGGGUAGCCGGCCUGAGAGGGCGACCGGCCACACUGGGACUGAGACACGGCCCAGACUCCUACGGGAGGCAGCAGGUGGGGAAUCUUGCGCAAUGGGCGAAAGCCUGACGCAGCGACGCCGCGUGAGGAUGACGGCCU
rnacentral:rRNA from 1 species